rnacentral:rRNA from 1 species
UAUGUGAUCGUCUCUCGCAUAUCAAUAAGCGGAGGAAAAGAAACUAACAAGGAUUCCCCUAGUAACGGCGAGUGAAGCGGGAAGAGCUCAAAUUUGAAAUCCUUAAAGGGUUUCCCUUUACGAAUUGUAGUUUAAAGAAGUGUUUUCUGUUGAGGUUUUGGUAAAAGUUCUUUGGAAUAGGACAUCAUAGAGGGUGAGAAUCCCGUAUUUGACCUUUACUUUCAACUUUGUGAUACACUUUCAAAGAGUCGGAUUGUUUGGGAAUGCAGUCCAAAAUGAGUGGUAAAUUUCAUCUAAAGCUAAAUAUUGGCGAGAGACCGAUAGCGAACAAGUACCGUGAGGGAAAGAUGAAAAGAACUUUGAAAAGAGAGUUAAACAGUACGUGAAAUUGUCAAAAGGGAAGCGUUUGACACCAGUGUUGUUUUUCUGAAAAUCAAUUAAAGAACUGUUUAUGCUAAGCUGUUUAGACUUUAUCAGCUAUCUGUUUAGUUUUGAGCUUUUCUUUAAUGCACUUUUCAGUUAACAAGUCAACAUCAAUUUCUUUUGCUGUAAAAAAGCUUGAGGAAGGUGGCUUGAGAUUCGUCUUAAGUGUUUAUAGCCUCUUGCCUAUACAGUCGGAGAGAUUGAGGUCUGCAGCGUAGAUCCUUCGGGGCUAAAUGCAUUUGUGCUAAGUUAUAGCAUUUUAUAGACAACUUGUUGACUAUGAUUUGUCUUGUAGCUUACUCGCUUAUGUUAUUUUACCUACGCUUAGGAUGUUGAGCGCAUGUCUCUCUCU